GGAGGGGUGGCCGAGCGGUCGAAGGCAACGGUCUUGAAAACCGUCAACCGUGAAAGCGGUUCGUGGGUUCAAAUCCCACCCCCUCCG
rnacentral:tRNA from 1 species